AUGUAUCGCUCGUAACACUGGUUCCCGGCGCGUCGUCCACGUCCACCUGAUGACUCUUCGCUAGGUGUUGGCAGCC
rnacentral:sRNA from 1 species